ACCUGGAUGGCUCAGUUGGUUGAGCUUCUGACUUUGGCUCAGGUCACUAUCUCCCAAUCUGUGGGUUCAAGCCCCACGUCGGGCU
rnacentral:tRNA from 1 species